GACUUCUGCGGCCGUCGUCGUUGAUGGGCGGCGAGACAUCGGUUACAUUCUAAAGAACUAACGUUAUUUGUGCUUGUUUAUUGACAAUAAUAUAUUUAUAAAGUAAACUGUGACCUCUAUCUGCAUAAUUUAGAAAACCAAUUAUGCGGAAAGAGGUCGCAAAUUACUGCUUUCACAUAUUUCGAACAGUGAUCGUGUGACGCGAGCUAUCUACCCCACAUAUUGGUUGUCGUCCUCGUAACUGGCGCAUGCAGUAGGACAGUUGGAGUCAGUGCUCGCCGCAGUCGGUAUCCAGCUCCGACAGUCCCUGCUCCUAUUCGUAGCCACUGGUUGAGCUGUCAAGCUUUCGAGUGUCCUGACUUUGGGAGACGAAGCCAGAGAUCCAAGCGUAGAUACAACCCGAGAACAAACGAGAUGCUGCUCAUAAUUAAACCUCAACACCGAGCUGGAACCAGAUGACAGUAUGAACUACUCAAACGCCGUACUCUCCGAGGAUAUAGCACGGAGUAUGACGGAGACGAAGCAGGCGGAGGAUCCCGAACGCGUCACAGACACGCUGUUCAUAGACAACUGCGAUCACAAACAACUCAAAGGUA
rnacentral:lncRNA from 1 species